AAUGUAAAAAUAAGAGAUAAGAUUCCUUUGUACUGUUAAUAGCUUUUACUUUUUUAAAGGAAAAUGUGUAUAGCCGGCCAUUUGUAAAGUUCUGUUUAAAAAGUCAUUAAGUAUACAGUAGGCGCACUUAUAUGCAGGUUCACAAUUUAGUAUAUAUAGAUUGCAAAAUUUUAAAUGAGAGGCAGGAAAUGCCAAACUAAAGCUUAAGUUAAUAAAAACACUUUCAAAAACCCCUCUCUCCAAAAAAGAUAAAAAAAAUAAGUUAAAAAAUGGAGAAAUCCAAAAUCAAGUCAGAUAUUUUAGAUAGCAUGGAAAAUCAAGAAACAAAGACUACUUAUCAAGAAAAAGCUACUCAAACUGAGAAUAAAGAUGAAGAUACAAUUGAACAGCUACUCAAAGCCAUUACUACACUUUGUACUAAAGUAGAUAGUAUGGAUAAUGAGAUACAAAAGCUAAAGACUAAUGAAGAUAACCUAUCAACAUGCUAUAUAUAUUAUUUCAUAAUACUCACUAUUUUAAUAUGUACAACAUAACUCAAACAAACCAAAAGACAAAAAUUCAUGUUUUAGGCAUGAAAUCCAUUGUAAUUCACUGUAAUGUGAUUCAAAAUGCACAUUUUUGCAAGACAUCACUAAAUAUCAAGAAUCUUCAAUUUGUAGUCA